GCGGAUUGGUCAAGCAGGGGAAGCCAUGGCGGACCAUAGCAACAAAAGCUAUUGUCCCACCUGAGCUGUGGAUGUCUGGAGCUCCUCCAGAGUUACCAUAAGGGACAAGACCUGCAGAGAAGAAUGGUUCUAGAUGAAGCCCUACAGGCUCGGAGCUAAGGGUGAGCACUCCUCAGGUGACGGUCUGUAGCAGGAACUGCUCCAAACAACCAGAACUCAGUCCUGUCACUAGCUGAAGAGGCGGUUUCCUGAUGUCAGUAACAACGACCCACCAGGAAAUGGUCCUGACCCACAGUUCAAGUGGGACAUGAGGAGAAACACAGUGAAAACUCAAGAUUCCUUUACAGAGGAGCUGAAGAAGCCCUGACAUGACGGUGAAGGUUUUAGGCAUCAUGGAGCAGUAUUGAACUUACGCCAGGUCUCAAGAAACGUUUCGAUUGUUGGACUACAAGAUUUUCCAACAGCAUAUCUCCCUGAAUGUACAACGGAUCAUCACAGCUGAGACCCAUCACAUGGUCUCUACUGGCAACGCAGUUUUAACACAGUCCACUUGGAGCCUAUGAAGAAGAACACUACUUGCUCUUUGCUUGGGGCAGUGACAGACUGUCCUCGUCAAUGACCAGCCCAUUAAAAGCCAAUGCAAAUCAUACAGGCCUACUGAAGACAAUACAGUCCUAUAAAUAAAUGACACAUGAAGGUUCCACAUGACUGUGCCCACAUUCACCCCCUCCUAAUCACACUGGUUAGCAGUGCUUAAAGGCCACAUAUAGUUUAGAGCCAGAAAAUCUAACAGGGGUAUGUCAAACGGACAGGUUGCCGCUAGUUAGCAACUCAGAAAAGGACCAAGAGCACCAAGAUCCGAUAUGCAGAAAUAUUUAAUGAGCUUCAGGCUUAGGAAAUGGGGAGAAGAUAGAUUUUGUCCGCUCACACCAAAAACAAGGAAUAAGUCGAGGUUCAGGGAUGACGAUGCAUCAGAAAAUGCGUAACGUAACUCGUAUGUUUCCGAGGCAGAGAGGAACCUUCAAGGCUUUCAGAGAAGUCUCCACAUGUUGAUUUAUGUUUAAGAAAUCUUACAUUCAAUGUGCUAAUUUUUCUCUUCUUCUCUUUUUAGUCUAAGCUAUUUACAUUUUCUAUGUAAGUCCCUUUAAAAUGAAUCAGGAAAGCAGUUUGUCCCUGGAGAUCCAUUUGUCUCUGACCCAGUCAUUGGUUAGAAGCAAGGAAGAGCUACCCCAAAAACUUCCAUAGACUGACUGUUUUAAAAGUGACCAAUUGCAUUUUGACAAAAACUGGGCGGGCCUUAACGAAGCCAAGUGGUGGGAGCCCAUGUUUUGCUCUGUUAUUGUAUGCAAAGCAGCCACCUUUUAUAGAGGACCCACUCCACCACUGGAGCUGGUGUUGAACGGCUUUUAGGACCAACAACAUCCAGCGAGGCCUUUAAGUGACUGUAAGAAAACAAAAAGGCUGUGUUGGUUGAACAUGUUGACCUGGGCAUUAGUUAGUCUCACUAAUCUGCAUCUGCAGACUACAGUCAACCAAAAAACCUCUGGGCAACAACAGAGAAGACCUUCACCUGGAUGAGCAGCAACACAACCAGAUUCUGGAGCACAAAAACAAGGUCCAGCAGAUCCAGGAGAUGCUAAAGUCUCAUCAAUGUUGUUGAAGCAUUUAGAGGAUGGAAAGGAUUCUCAGAGUGAAGGGAACUACUUGGAGAUGCUGGAUUUUUACCCCUCACUGCCACCUUGAAGUUCCCUGGCACCUCGAGCCUAAUCCAGAAAGAUCUGAUGUAGCAGUUGCAGAUGUAAUGAUUGAAGUUUGUGUCUGUUUGAGUUUAAUGAGACAACAGACAGCAGUCCUCUGCAGACUGCACAAUCUCUGACUCUGGUCAUGUAACAAGGAACAGAUAGAACCAGGGAGUGUCUGUCGUCUCGGUGAUCCAGCUGCUUUCUUCCAAAAAAUCAGCAAAAUGUCGGAAACUGCUGGAUGAGACUAGUCAGUGAAGACUAGUGAGAGUAGAUCCAAGAUGGUGGUACUUCUCAUCAUGUUGGGAUAAACUACGCGUGACCACAGAGGAGAAUUCCUGGAGCACCACAAUGACGUUAGAGACGUUCAUGGUCCAGACGGAUAGAGAACGCUGAUGAUGAGCUCUGAGUUCUUCUUGUUGCCCUUAAUACACUUCCUGCCUGUUCAGGACUGUUAGUUUGUAGGGAUGCUACAAAAUAAAGAGUUGGAUGCA